rnacentral:lncRNA from 1 species
AUAGGAAUGUAGAAAUAUAAACCAAGGCUGAUCAUAACCCAUGAUUUUAAAACAGUGAUGAAGUAAAGAGGAAGUCAGCAGAGAAAGGAGACUCAUUAUGUAAAGAACAAAAACAAGAAUAAAAUCAGAUUUCCUUUGGGAAAACAAAGGUAGAAGGCAAUUGAGCAAAAUCCUCAUGCAGUGCUGAAAAGAAAAAUAUUUCCUUGAAUUCUAUGCAAAGUAAAAUAUUUUCGUAAAAAAGUAAAAAUUUGUGUAUGUCCAAUUUUCUCACAGACAUAAGAAAUGAAAGAAUUGAUUUAACAGCAUACCUGCACUAUAAAAAUGUUAAAGUCCUCCAGACAGAUAGAAAAUAAAGUCAGAUGAAAACUUAGAUCUACACAAGACAUGAUAAAAAUGUGUACAGUUUCUGAGGGAAGAACCAUCAACAGCUUUUACUUAUUGCUGGAAGAAAGCGGCAAUCAGUGGAUGAGAAAGGAAAGUCUGAAUUUCAAGACUCCAUCUCAAGAUGUCUACAGAUAAAGCCCAUCAGAUGGAGACCACCAAGAACACCUGAAGCUGGGUACCUGAGGGUUACUGUAAACAUUCGAUUCUUUUGACCUUGUUCCCGACACAGAUGUAGGUGAAAGGAAAUUAAUCUUGUCAAUUUGCUGCUUUUUUUGUUUAACUUGAGUGGUGACUCAAGGGUAACAAGGAUUUAUAAGCUUAUUUUGCAGAAGAAAAAGAAUGCCUUCAUUGUUGUUACUUUUAAUUUUAUUAUUAUUAUUUUGGUGAGGAAGAUUGUCCCUGAGCUAACAUCUGUGCCAGUCUUCCUCUAUUUUGUAUAUGGGGCACCGCCACAGCAUGGCUUGAUGAGUGGCAUACAGGUCCGUGCUCAUGACCUGAACCCAUGAACCCGGGGCUGCUGAAGUGGAGCAUAUGAACCUAACUGCCACACCACCAGUGCAGCCCCAAGAAUGCCUUCAAUGAAGUUACAAUCACCAGAUAAACAGCCCCCAGCUGCCCUUGAUACCCAGAAGUCAAAUUGCCCAAGGGCUUAUCUGGAGCGAAAGGAACAUCGCGGAUUUCCCCUUUGUUUCUUUGAAACUCCUCCUGCCAACCCCCUUAGCUUAUGAAAUCCCCCACCUUCCUCUCUUGUGAAGGUGGUUUUGAGAGAACCUGUUUUCCUCCCCCUUGUUUUGGCCAAUUUGAAUAAAUCUUUCUCUGCCUCCAGGCACGCAUGUCUCUGUGUUCGGCUUACUGUACAUCAGACACGCG